CCGUAGCGCAACGGAUAGAGCAUUGGACUUCGGAUCCAAGUGUUGCAGGUUCAAAUCCUGUCGG
rnacentral:tRNA from 1 species